rnacentral:rRNA from 1 species
GGUAGCAUAAUCACUUGCCCAUUAAUUGUGGGCUGGAAUGAAAGGAUAAACGAAAUAGAGACUGUCUCAAUUACUAAAAUAAAAAUUAUUAUCUAGGUGAAGAAAUCUAGAUAAAGUCGAAGGACAAGAAGACCCUAUAGAGCUUUAUCUAAAAUAUGGGUAAUACCUUAUUAAGAUUCGGUUGGGGCGACCAAGGAAUGUUAAUCAUCCUUUUAAAAAAGAUCAAUUAAUCAAUAUUAUGACCCUAAAAAUAGGAUCAAAAAAAUAAGCUACCUUAGGGAUAACAGGCUAAUCCCAUUAAAGAGUCCUUAUUAACAAUGGGGGUUGGCACCUC